AGAUCACUUCAAAGCGGGCUUGUGGAGCUGCAAAACCAAAAGCUUUAAUGUAUGACCAAAGAUUGAUAUUCUCUGUAGGAUGCCAUAGUCACUCAGUAGUGCUACAUCUUCUUAAGCAGAUAUAAGA
rnacentral:snoRNA from 1 species